GUGGUUGUAGCUCAAUGGCAGAGCACCUGAUUGUGGUUCAGGCGGUUGUGGGUUCAAGUCCCAUCAGCCACCCCU
rnacentral:tRNA from 1 species